UACGGAGGGGGCUAGCGUUGUUCGGAAUUACUGGGCGUAAAGCGCACGUAGGCGGACUGGAAAGUCAGAGGUGAAAUCCCAGGGCUCAACCUUGGAACUGCCUUUGAAACUCCCGGUCUUGAGGUCGAGAGAGGUGAGUGGAAUUCCGAGUGUAGAGGUGAAAUUCGUCGAUAUUCGGAGGAACCCCAGUGGCGAAGGCGGCUCACUGGCACGAUACUGACGCUGAGGUGCGAAAGCGUGGGGAGCAAACAGG
rnacentral:rRNA from 1 species